AUUAGAGUGGCAGAGCCCGGAAACUGCAAAAGACCUAAGCUCUUUCUACAGAGGUUCAAAUCCUCUCUUUAAUU